rnacentral:tRNA from 1 species
UAUAUUUCAGUGGAUGACACUAAAGAUUUUGAUUCUUUAAAGUUUAAUUAAUUAUUAAAAAAUAUAA